CCUACGGGGGACAGCAGUGAGGAAUAUUGGUCAAUGGGCGCGAGCCUGAACCAACCAAGUCGCGUGAGGGAUGACGGUCCUACGGAUUGUAAACCUCUUUUGCCGGGGAGCAAGCGUGCGUUCGUGAACGCACGUCGAGAGUACCCGGAGAAAAAGCAUCGGCUAACUCCGUGCCAGCAGCCGCGGUAAUACGGAGGAUGCGAGCGUUAUCCGGAUUUAUUGGGUUUAAAGGGUGCGUAGGCGGGAUGCCAAGUCAGCGGUAAAAAUGCGGUGCUCAACGCCGUCGAGCCGUUGAAACUGGCGUUCUUGAGUGGGCGAGAAGUAUGCGGAAUGCGUGGUGUAGCGGUGAAAUGCAUAGAUAUCACGCAGAACCCCGAUUGCGAAGGCAGCCUUCCGGCGCCCUACUGACGCUGAGGCACGAAAGUGCGGGGAUCGAACAGGAUUAGAUACCCUUGUAGUC
rnacentral:rRNA from 1 species